rnacentral:rRNA from 1 species
UCCUACGGGAGGCAGCAGUGGGGAAUAUUGGACAAUGGGAGAAAGCCUGAUCCAGCCAUGCCGCGUGUGUGAAGAAGGCUUUCGGGUUGUAAAGCACUUUCAGUGAGGAAGAAUGCCUUGGGCUUAAUACGUCCGAGGAAAGACAUCACUCACAGAAGAAGCACCGGCUAACUCCGUGCCAGCAGCCGCGGUAAUACGGAGGGUGCGAGCGUUAAUCGGAAUUACUGGGCGUAAAGCGCGCGUAGGUGGCUUGAUAAGCCGGUUGUGAAAGCCCCGGGCUCAACCUGGGAACGGCAUCCGGAACUGUCAGGCUAGAGUGCAGGAGAGGAAGGUAGAAUUCCCGGUGUAGCGGUGAAAUGCGUAGAGAUCGGGAGGAAUACCAGUGGCGAAGGCGGCCUUCUGGACUGACACUGACACUGAGGUGCGAAAGCGUGGGUGGCAACCCAGGAUUAGAUACCAUGGUA